rnacentral:tRNA from 1 species
GGAGGGCUGGCCGAGUGGUCUAUGGCGGUUGACUUGAAAUCAAUUGUGCUUUCAGCACCAGGGGUUCGAAUCCUCUGCCCUCCGCCA